CUGCUGCCUCCCGUAGGAGUCUGGGCCGUGUCUCAGUCCCAGUGUGGGGGGCCUUCCUCUCAGAACCCCUACGCAUCGUCGCCACGGUGGGCCGUCACCCCGCCGUCUAGCUAAUGCGCCGCAUGCCCAUCCGCCACCGGAUCGCUCCUUUGGCCACCGGAGGAUGCCCUCCGGUGGCGUCACGGGGUAUUAGGCCGCGUUUCCGCGGGUUAUCCCCCUGCGGCGGCCAGGUUGCAUACGUGUUACUCACCCGUGCGCCGGUCGCCGGCGGG
rnacentral:rRNA from 1 species